UACGGAGGGUGCGAGCGUUAAUCGGAAUUACUGGGCGUAAAGCGCACGCAGGCGGUCUUUCAAGUCAGGUGUGAAAUCCCCGGGCUUAACCUGGGAGCUGCAUUCGAGACUGGGAGUCUGGAGUACUGUAGGGGGGGGUAGAAUUCCAGGUGUAGCGGUGAAAUGCGUAGAGAUGUGGAGGAAUACCGGUGGCGAAGGCGGCCCCCUGGACAAAGACUGACGCUCAGGUGCGAAAGCGUGGGGAGCAAACAGG
rnacentral:rRNA from 1 species